rnacentral:rRNA from 1 species
UCGAGAAUUUUUCUCAAUGGGGGAAACCCUGAAGGAGCGACGCCGCGUGGAGGAUGAAGGCCUUCGGGUUGUAAACUCCUGUCAUUUGGGAACAAACCUUCCAUUUAACUAGUGGAAGACUGAUAGUACCAGAAGAGGAAGAGACGGCUAACUCUGUGCCAGCAGCCGCGGUAAUACAGAGGUCUCAACCGUUGUUCGGAUUCAUUGGGCGUAAAGGGUGCGUAGGCGGUCGUGCAAGUCGGAUGUGAAAUCUCAGGGCUCAACCCUGAAACUGCAUUCGAUACUGCGUGGCUAGAGUGCUGGAGAGGAGACUGGAAUUUACGGUGUAGCAGUGAAAUGCGUAGAUAUCGUAAGGAAGACCAGUGGCGAAGGCGAGUCUCUGGACAGCAACUGACGCUGAGGCACGAAGGCCAGGGGAGCAAACGG